rnacentral:tRNA from 1 species
GGGGAUUUAGCUCAGCGGCAUGAGCGCCUGCCUUGCAAGCAGGCUGUCGUGAGUUUGAUCCCUG